rnacentral:rRNA from 1 species
GUGGGGAAUAUUGGACAAUGGGCGAAAGCCUGAUCCAGCCAUGCAGCGUGUGUGAAGAAGGUCUUCGGAUUGUAAAGCACUUUAAGUUGGGAGGAAGGGCAUUAACCUAAUACGUUAGUGUUUUGACGUUACCAACAGAAUAAGCACCGGCUAACUUCGUGCCAGCAGCCGCGGUAAUACGAAGGGUGCAAGCGUUAAUCGGAAUUACUGGGCGUAAAGCGCGCGUAGGUGGUUCAGCAAGUUGAAGGUGAAAUCCCCGGGCUCAACCUGGGAACUGCCUCCAAAACUACUGAGCUAGAGUACGGUAGAGGGUAGUGGAAUUUCCUGUGUAGCGGUGAAAUGCGUAGAUAUAGGAAGGAACACCAGUGGCGAAGGCGACUACCUGGACUGAUACUGACACUGAGGUGCGAAAGCGUGGGGAGCAAACAGGAUUAGAAACCCUGGUAGUCC